CCGCUCGCCGCCCGGACGCGCGGCCCCGCGGCGCCAUUUCCGCUUCGACCUCGAGCGUGCACACGCCCGCAAGCGCGUCCCGGGCUACCCUGCAGCACCUUCGUGCCUUUCUUUGCCAGCGACUGUUUAGUGGGCAUCGUGUAAUGCAAUAUGACGACUUACCCUCCUAAAGCUUAUGGUCUGAUAAAGGAGACACAAUAAAUUCUCAAUGAAC
rnacentral:sRNA from 1 species